rnacentral:tRNA from 1 species
GCCUGCUGGAGGUGCCGGUAGCGGUCGCCCUGGUUGCUGCCCAGGGCGAGCACCGCCCGGGUCACGACCGGCUCCGGGCC